AUGUGUUUCAAAGACCUCCAAGUGCCCUCUAUUUUUCCAGAUUUUUCCUGAUUUUAUAUAUAUAUAAAAUCAGGAAAAAUAGAGGGCACUUGGAGGUCUUUGAAACACA